rnacentral:rRNA from 1 species
UACGGGGGGGGCAAGCGUUGUUCGGAAUUACUGGGCGUAAAGGGCUCGUAGGCGGCCAACUAAGUCGGACGUGAAAUCCCUCGGCUUAACCGGGGAACUGCGUCCGAUACUGGAUGGCUUGAGUUUGGGAGAGGGACGCGGAAUUCCAGGUGUAGCGGUGAAAUGCGUAGAUAUCUGGAGGAACACCGGUGGCGAAGGCGGCGUCCUGGACCAACACUGACACUGAGGCACGAAAGCGUGGGGAGCAAACAGG